ACCGCAGACCGCUCUAUCGCUGCCUGAGCAAUCGGGGAGAGGAAAGUCCGGGCAACACAGGGCACCAUGCUUCUUAACAGGAAGGCGGGUGAAAGCUUGCAGUAAGGUAACAGAAAAUGACCACCCGGUUUUGAUGCGUCUUAGCCGGGAACGGGUGAAAAGGUGAGGUAAAAGCUCACCGGUGGCGGUGGCAACAUCGUCAGCCGUACCUCUGAUGGGUUGCAAAGCCAAAUAUAUCACGAUUUUCCGGUACGCCGGAAUACAGAACGGCCCGUUUUGGUUCUUCGGAAGUCGUGAGGGGUAGGCUGCUCGAUCAGCUUUGUGAAAAGCUGGCUAGAUAAAUGAUAGAGGCUCUGAGCUUGUCGAAGAGUACAGAACCCGGCUUACAGGUUUGCGUUUUUU
rnacentral:RNase_P_RNA from 1 species